UACGUAGGGUCCGAGCGUUGUCCGGAAUUACUGGGCGUAAAGAGCGCGCAGGCGGUCGGAUCAGUCGAAUGUGAAAGCCCCCGGCUCAACUGGGGAGGGUCAUUCGAUACUGUCCGACUCGAAGGCAGGAGAGGGAAGCGGAAUUCCCGGUGUAGUGGUGAAAUGCGUAGAUAUCGGGAGGAACACCAGUGGCGAAGGCGGCUUUCUGGCCUGUUCUUGACGCUGAGGCGCGAAAGCUAGGGGAGCGAACGGGG
rnacentral:rRNA from 1 species